rnacentral:rRNA from 1 species
GAUGAACGCUGGCGGCGUGCCUAAUACAUGCAAGUCGAGCGAACGGACGAGAAGCUCGCUUUUCUGAUGUUAGCGGCGGACGGGUGAGUAACACGUGGAUAACCUACCUAUAUGACUGGGAUAACUUCGGGAAACCGGAGCUAAUACCGGAUCAUAUUUUGAACCGCAUGGUUCAAAAGUGAAAGACGGUCUUGCUGUCACUUUUAGAUGGAUCCGCGCUGCAUUAGCUAGUUGGUAAGGUAACGGCUUACCAAGGCAACGAUGCGUAGCCGACCUGAGAGGGUGAUCGGCCACACUGGAACUGAGACACGGUCCAGACUCCUACGGGAGGCAGCAGUAGGGAAUCUUCCGCAAUGGGCGAAAGCCUGACGGAGCAACGCCGCGUGAGUGAUGAAGGUCUUCGGAUCGUAAAACUCUGUUAUUAGGGAAGAACAUAUGUGUAAGUAACUGUGCCCAUCUUGACGGUACCUAAUCAGAAAGCCACGGCUAACUACGUG